rnacentral:rRNA from 1 species
GACGAACGCUGGCGGCGUGCUUAACACAUGCAAGUCGAACGGAAAGGCCCUGCUUUUGUGGGGUGCUCGAGUGGCGAACGGGUGAGUAACCCGUGAGUAACCUGCCCUUGACUUUGGGAUAACUUCAGGAAACUGGGGCUAAUACCGGAUAGGAGCUCCUGCUGCAUGGUGGGGGUUGGAAAGUUUCGGCGGUUGGGGAUGGACGCGCGGCUUAUCAGCUUGUUGGUGGGGUAGUGGCUUACCAAGGCUUUGACGGGUAGCCGGCCUGGGAGGGUGACCGGCCACAUUGGGACUGAGAUACGGCCCAGACUCCUACGGGAGGCAGCAGUGGGGAAUAUUGCACAAUGGGCGGAAGCCUGAGGCAGCAACGCCGCGUGCGGGAUGACGGCCUUCGGGUUGUAAACCGCUUUCGCCUGUGACGAAGCGUGAGUGACGGUAAUGGGUAAAGAAGCACCGGCUAACUACGUG